rnacentral:rRNA from 1 species
CCUANGGGGGGCUGCAGUCGAGAAUAUUCGACAAUGGGCGAAAGCCUGAUCGAGCGACGCCGCGUGCAGGAUGAAGUGCUUCGGUAUGUAAACUGCUUUUGUGAACUAGAAAGUUUAUUGAUCAGUUCAAGAAUAAGAGGUUGCUAAACUCGUGCCAGCAGCAGCGGUAAUACGAGUGCCUCGAGCGUUAUCCGGAAUCAUUGGGCGUAAAGGGUGUGCAGGCGGUCUGAUUAGUCUUCUGUUAAAUUCUUCGGCUUAACCGGGGACCUGCAGGGGAAACGGUCAGACUAGAGGAUGCGAGAGGUUUACGGAACUCAUAGUGUAGCAGUGAAAUGCGUUGAUAUUAUGGGGAACACCAAAUGCGAAGGCAGUAAACUGGAGCACUCCUGACGCUGAAACACGAAAGCGUGGGUAGCGAAUGGGAUUAGAUACCCUGNUANUC